rnacentral:rRNA from 1 species
UAAGACGGAGGAUGCAAGUGUUAUCCGGAAUCACUGGGCGUAAAGCGUCUGUAGGUGGUUGAACAAGUCAACUGUUAAAUCUUGAGGCUCAACUUCAAAAUCGCAGUCGAAACUGUUUGACUAGAGUAUAGUAGGGGUAAAGGGAAUUUCCAGUGGAGCGGUGAAAUGCGUAGAUAUUGGAAAGAACACCGAUGGCGAAGGCACUUUACUGGGCUAUUACUGACACUCAGAGACGAAAGCUAGGGUAGCAAAUGGGAUUAGAUACCCCAGUAGUCCUAGCCGUAAACAAUGGAUACUAGAUGUUGAACAGAUCGACCUGUGCAGUAUCAAAGCUAACGCGUUAAGUAUCCCGCCUGGGAAGUAUGCUCGCAAGAGUG